rfam:Gossypium arboreum cultivar AKA8401 contig_236634_1, whole genome shotgun sequence.
GGGAUUCUUGUUCAAUUUGUCAGAGAACCGCCCUGUCAAGGCGGAAGUUGCGGGUUCAAGUUCCGUCAGUCCCG